rnacentral:rRNA from 1 species
GAUGAACGCUGGCGGCGUGCCUAAUACAUGCAAGUCGAGCGAACAGACAAGGAGCUUGCUCCUCUGACGUUAGCGGCGGACGGGUGAGUAACACGUGGAUAACCUACCUAUAAGACUGGGAUAACUUCGGGAAACCGGAGCUAAUACCGGAUAAUAUAUUGAACCGCAUGGUUCAAUAGUGAAAGACGGUUUUGCUGUCACUUAUAGAUGGAUCCGCGCCGCAUUAGCUAGUUGGUAAGGUAACGGCUUACCAAGGCAACGAUGCGUAGCCGACCUGAGAGGGUGAUCGGCCACACUGGAACUGAGACACGGUCCAGACUCCUACGGGAGGCAGCAGUAGGGAAUCUUCCGCAAAGGGCGAAAGCCUGACGGAGCAACGCCGCGUGAGUGAUGAAGGUCUUCGGAUCGUAAAACUCUGUUAUUAGGGAAGAACAAAUGUGUAAGUAACUAUGCACGUAUUGACGGUACCUAAUCAGAAAGCCACGGCUAACUACGUG